GGAGAUUGCUCAAAGAAUUAUAUUGGCGAAACACGAAAGUCAUUUGAAACAAGAAAGAAAAACGCAUUCAAAAUGAAAAAAAACAACUCAAACGCAGCCUUAGGCAAACAUGCAUGAAACUGGUCACGUUGGUCCAAGUUUGACACGAGACAAAUUAUUGACAAAGGAAACAAGAGCAUUAGAAAAAAUUUAAAUCAUGGCAGACUGCUAUUGCUACAAUAAUGCAGCAAUAUCUCAAAGCCACUCCCUCAAAAAUUGUCUGCAAUCCAUGGAAAACAUUGACG